rnacentral:rRNA from 1 species
ACUGUCAGGUGGGCAGUUUGACUGGGGCGGUCGCCUCCCAAAAGGUAACGGAGGCGCUCAAAGGUUCUCUCAGUACGGUCGGAAAUCGUACGUAGAGUGUAAAGGCAAAAGAGAGCUUGAUUGCAAGACAUACAGGUCGAGCAAGGAUGAAAAUCGGACUUAGUGAUCCGGUGGUUCUGCGUGGAAGGGCCAUCGCUCAACGGAUAAAAGCUACCCUGGGGAUAACAGGCUUAUCUCCCCCAAGAGUCCACAUCGACGGGGAGGUUUGGCACCUCGAUGUCGGCUCAUCACAUCCUGGGGCUGUAGUAGGUCCCAAGGGUUGGGCUGUUCGCCCAUUAAAGUGGUACGCGAGCUGGGUUCAGAACGUCGUGAGACAGUUCGGUCCCUAUCCGUCGCAGGCGUAGGAAAUUUGAGAAGACCUGUCCUUAGUACGAGAGGACCGGGAUGGACGUACCUCUGGUGUACCAGUUGUCCUGCCAAGGGCAUGGCUGGGUAGCUAUGUACGGAAUGGAUAAGCGCUGAAAGCAUCUAAGCGCGAAGCCAACUUC